rnacentral:rRNA from 1 species
CUUGCUUCUCUUGAGAGCGGCGGACGGGUGAGUAAUGCCUAGGAAUCUGCCUGGUAGUGGGGGAUAACGUCCGGAAACGGACGCUAAUACCGCGUACGUCCUACGGGAGAAAGCAGGGGACCUUCGGGCCUUGCGCUAUCAGAUGAGCCUAGGUCGGAUUAGCUAGUUGGUGGGGUAAUGGCUCACCAAGGCGACGAUCCGUAACUGGUCUGAGAGGAUGAUCAGUCACACUGGAACUGAGACACGGUCCAGACUCCUACGGGAGGCAGCAGUGGGGAAUAUUGGACAAUGGGCGAAAGCCUGAUCCAGCCAUGCCGCGUGUGUGAAGAAGGUCUUCGGAUUGUAAAGCACUUUAAGUUGGGAGGAAGGGCAGUAAAUUAAUACUUUGCUGUUUUGACGUUACCGACAGAAUAAGCACCGGCUAACUCUGUGCCAGCAGCCGCGGUAAUACAGAGGGUGCAAGCGUUAAUCGGAAUUACUGGGCGUAAAGCGCGCGUAGGUGGUUCGUUAAGUUGGAUGUGAAAUCCCCGGGCUCAACCUGGGAACUGCAUUCAAAACUGACGAGCUAGAGUAUGGUAGAGGGUGGUGGAAUUUCCUGUGUAGCGGUGAA